GACGGAGGAUGCAAGUGUUAUCCGGAAUCACUGGGCGUAAAGCGUUUGUAGGUGGUUUAAUAAGUCAACUGUUAAAUCUUGAGGCUCAACCUCAAAAUCGCAGUCGAAACUAUUAGGCUAGAGUAUAGUAGGGGUAAAGGGAAUUUCCAGUGGAGCGGUGAAAUGCGUAGAGAUUGGAAAGAACACCGAUGGCGAAGGCACUUUACUGGGCUAUUACUAACACUCAGAGACGAAAGCUAGGGUAGCAAAUGGG
rnacentral:rRNA from 1 species